rnacentral:sRNA from 1 species
UCUGCUGUGCUAUAAUGUGUUUGCAAGUAGUUUAUGGUGGUGGCUAAAUCUCCAAGUAUUGGGGGUGAUGCUUUAUGGUUCAUAAAUGUGUUAUCCCUGGAAAGGAAUAAACAUGUCCCUUUAUGAGACAAUGACGCUUAUGAUCGCUUUUGCGACCCUAGUGUUACUCAUUCGUGACAGUAA